UUGCCUACCCUCCGCAGUUUAUAUAUGCUGCGUGUCAUACAGAUUCCGAUGUCAUAUAUUACAGCAAUGCAGCUGUACAUAUAGUUUAAAUUCACUAUAAACGAUUUAUUUAUUAUUUUAAUUGUACUUUAUUUGAUAAAACAGAACAAAGAAACUCGAAAAUAUGUUUUACUAUACUAUAAUUAGAUUUAUACAGGUAUUACAGGUAU